UGCACAACGCUCAGCAAUAACAAGUAAUUUUAUUUUUUAAUUUCUAUUUUGAUGAUGCAUCCCCCUUCUUACUCUCUGACAUGCAUCUCUUUUUUGGCCUCAAUUAAAUGGAAUAUGUUUUUUGUAAAUACUAUAUUUUGUCUGGAUCUAAAAUAAAUUUUCUAAAAAUAAAAUAAAAUAAGAACAAAAAAUAAUCAGUCUAUUUUGAAUUUUCAGUUUGAAUUUUAAUUGGCAUUUUCAAUUUCAAUAUUUCCUUUUUUUAUUUUUCUUUUCAAUUUUAGUUCUCAAAUAGUAAUUUUUUUUAUUAAAAUUUAAAACAAAUGAAAUAAAAUAAAAUCUGAAAUAAAAUAAAAGUAAAAUAGCGAACAAAAAGAAAAUAAAUUUGUUUUGAAUUUUGGUUGGCAUUUUGAUUUCAAUCUUUUAUCUUCAUUUAAAAAAUUAAUGUCGUUUUAUUUGUGUCAUUUAAUUAAAGAAAGAAAUUUAAAAGAAAACAAAAUGAAUUGUUUGGAUUCCAUUCUGAUUUUUGAUCUUACAUUUUCAAUUUAUUCUAAAUUUCAUGUUCUUUAUUAUUUUAUAAAAAGAAGAAAAAUACUCUGUUGGGUCUUAAUUUUAACCUUUAAGUUUGGGAUAUUCUCCCAUUUUAAUUUUUUAGGGGGAAGUAGAAGAGGAUAGGAAUUAAUUAAAAUAGGAAUUAAUUAAUGAUCAAUUAAUUUUGUUAAUUUCCUAAGCUACCUAGGUCUCUGUAGAGAAAACUCCUCCUCUUCCUUUGACUGACUCUUUAAAAACUCAAACCUCUAUUUAAGAAGAAAACAAUGAUCCUCUUUGGAUACUGGCUCUCCAUAUAAAACUCACGCUAUCUGCUCUCUCUGGAUGAGGAGAUGAGCACCUGUUCUCACAAAAAAAAAAAAAAAAA
rnacentral:misc_RNA from 1 species